AGGCUUAUGAAAGGGGGCGGGAACGGGUACCACGGUUCUCUCCCGCUCCCAUACAAAAUACACGGUGCGCUCUCUCAAUGCUCGCGCCCAUGCGCGAGCAUCCUUUCGUGUGCAUGUGUUUGUUUCUUUCGUGUAGCGCUGUGUGCGUUUCUUUCGUUCAGCGAUCGCUCACACUCGCGCGUAUUUUUUUGUUAUCUAAAGCUAAACAAAAAAACAAACACGCGUCAAUCUUUUUUUCAUCACUUUAUUCAAACAUUUACAUAACUUUACACGAUUUCACACAUUUACAUAAACAAUAUUAAACUAAAAUAAAAUCAAUCGCCCCAUCGAUGCAAACGUUGAAGUGGCCGAAUAUCUGCGUAGAUCCUGUUAUAAACAUAAAAAAGGUACGAAAUGAAGCUGCGCAAUGUACAUAACAUGCAUUACGAAUCAUUCGCGCAGCUUCAUUUGAAUUCGCACAACACUUGAACACUUGAACACUUUACAAAAUCAUAACUCCAAUCGUCCAGGACUUAAGCUGACAAAACGUGCACGUGCGGCCGCUCGCUGCCGAUCCUUGAGCUGUACUGACGAUUUCGUGUGGUAGCAAGAAUGAGAGCACACAGAGGAACUUUCGGUGCAGCAGUGCAAGCGAGACACCGACAUCAGCACAGCGCUGCGAGCAGAUCAAACUGAGCGCGCAGGCUGAAAGUGAACGCACACAUUUCCACAUGUGUAACUGUGUUAGUGCCAAAACUGUGUCGAAACCAAAACGUACUCUCGCCUCCGUGUAUUUCACACCGAUUCUCCGCUUAACUCUAGGUUUUUACACACACCAUGAUAAAAUAUCCCGCUCGUUGUUUGUAGGGACAUGACUGCUUAAAAAAAGCAAACUCACAUUCGUUUGUCUAACUUUAGAGCUUUGAUUUUUCAUUCGAAAGUGAGAUGUUGUUUUCAAAUGGAUAUCUAGCACUAGGCAUCGAUCUUUCGUCGGUUAAGAAUUGCUCAAUUUACCGGGUCACUAGAUGCUUUAUUCAAUUUAAAUCAUGCUCCAGUUAGCUAUGGAGCUCAAAAAUGAUUUUUAUUUAUUUUUUUUUUUAUUCAGCAGGGACGGCUUUGCCGUAUUGCUUAAAAUUAGAGUACAUACAUAUUCAGUUUAAUCUUUAAUGCACGACUGUUGCGAGACAUUUCCUUCUCGCAGCUUUAGGAGGGCACCAUAUCCCGGGUGUGCUCGGACGUUGCUGUCCAAAUCCGAUCCUUGUCCUUGUCGAGUGGUCCAAUAACAGGGGGCAGAGGUCGAGAUCAUAUGCUUCGUCAUUAUCCUGUGGAAAAGAAAAUUUCCUAGGCUUGCUCGAAUUCUUCUGGUUCAUUCUUGUCCGUUGAAGUAGUCCGCUCAUGUCCGUGGGCAUUGCAGGGGUCUUAAUCCAAUCUUUCCAGGGCCAUACAUAAUGGCCAAGGUUUCAAAGAAACUCUAGGAGAGAUCGAGUACAGGAACCUCCUAAGUUCAUCCCUGUCCCACAAGCCCUGCCAGCGAGCAAUGCAGAAAGCUUGUGGGGCCCGUAAGAUCUCGUGAGGGAGGAUAGGUCUAUCGUAAAAAGACCCAUCCGAAGCACCCUUCUUGGCCAAAUGGUCUGCUUUCUCGUUUCCUAAGAUGCCGCAAUGAGCAGGCAACCAUACCAGGGAUAUUCGAAACGAUUUUUCAAACAGGGAGCUUAGGACUUUUAGAAUUUCUUUUACAAAAUAGUCUGGGCUCUUAAUAGCCUUCACGGAUUUUAAUGCUUCAAGAGCACUUAGGCUGUCUGAAAAAAUUACAUACUGAUCCGGAGGGCAUGCACUUAUCAACAGUAAGGCAUAAAAGAUUGCGGCGAGCUCCGCUACAUAAACUGAGCAUGGUUGGCGUAAUUUAAAAUAUGCUUCGGUACACGUGUUAUAUAUACCAAAACCAAUGCCCUGCUCUGAUGAGGAUCCGUCAGUGUAAAAAUGGUUUACAUUUGGUUGGCCAUGUCUUUCCACAAAAAUGUAGGGAAUUGUCAUCCAGCGAAGAUUAUCAGGGAUAGUUUAAAUUGCCUCUCUCAACGAGGUAUCUACACUUAAAAUGGAACUUUAGGACUCUAGUAAGCUGGCACUACUAAUGUUUUGAAAACUACUAGGGUGCACCUGUAGAGAAACAAAAUCACGAUAGACCUUUAUGAUUUUGCAUUUAGAACCUAUCUCUUGCAGUGUUUUAAAGUUCUCGAUUAUCAAGGGAUUUGAUACUGUAGAGCGGACAAAAAAGCGAAGCGAUAAUAGCUCAAAACGAAGCUUUAGCGGCAUCACUUCGAGUGACAUGUUGUGAGUCGACUUCAUGCUACCUAGUGCGAUUCUAAGAUAACGGUACUGAAUCCUCUCAAGUCGGAUUAGAUGCGACUUGGCUGCCCAUUGGAAGCAUAUGCAACCAUAUUCCAAGACGGACAGUAUCGUAGUCUUAUAUAGGUUAAGGACGUCUUUGGGAUGUGUACCCCACCAGAGUCCGGUAAUCGUUCUGAGAAAAUUGAUUCUUCUUGUACAUUUCUGUACCAGAUAGUCAAUAUGUGUCCUCCAUACAUUUUUGCUAUCAAACCAAACCCCUAGGUAUCGAAAAGUUCUUGGAAUGGAUAUCUUUUUACCAUAUAAAAAGAUAUCGACCUUUGUGUCAACCAAAUUCAAGCGUCUAUUACUUUCAGUGUAGUAAAAGAAAGAGAAUAUCAGCAUUUCCGCUUUCUCUGGAUAAAACUCAAUACCUAGGUUUGUGGCCCACACUUCUAAAUUGUUAAGUGUGGUUUGCAAAGGACUUUGAGUCAAAAGCCCCCUUGAUGUCAUGAAAUACAGAUGCCAUUAUUUCCGUACGAAAAUGAGCCAUUUCAAUUUCGGACACAAGUAGCGCGAGAUUUUUUUCGGAUCGCUUUGAUUGACACCCUCGGUGUAAUCGAUCUUUUUACUCCUGUUAGAGGGGCCAGAUUGGGCAAAGAUUCAUUACCCUCAAGAAGAGAGAGUGUAUCGAACGGAUUCGCUUCUGGGGUUCUUUUCAAAACAUCGGCGGAUGACUCCUUUGAAUUCUGUAGGACGGCUUUUUUAUGCACGGCCUGCUUUUUACGGUAAACUGAGCAUGUAGACACCUCAUACCGUUCCAACAAUGCAAAGCAACAAUGGCCUAGAUAUUGUUUCAAAUGCCCGUUUUAGAUCCAAGAAAACAACAACUAUCGAUUCCCUCCGAUCCAUCAACACCCUCCACCUCGCCAGUACAAGAUUCAGAGCAGUCUCACAAGAGUGUCCUUGCCGAUAUCGCUCUCGGAUUGCUCUCGGAUUAACAACUCGCUUCCAUUCAGAAACUGAACCAAUUGCUCCUUAACUACAGUCUCCAGCACCUUUUCGAGCACAUGCAACAUAUUGAUAGGACGAAAAUCCUCCGCAUUGGGAGCUCCGUUCACCUUAGGAAUAGGUGUUACCUUAGGAAUAGGUGUAUUAUCAAUGAUUCGUUCCAUGUUUUUGGGAAAAUUCUACUCUCUAGCGAUUCAUUUAUCACCAUCAAAAGGUCAUCUCUUAUCACAUGAAAGCAAUCCUGUAUGGUUGUUGAACUCACGCUUCCUAUACCUGUGGUUUUUAUCAGGUCGAAACAAAUAAUCUUUAUCUCACUAAGAGUUAUUUUUUGGAAUCUGAAAUGGUUUCGUGGAGUUUCUACAUGCGACAAAUAAUAAGGCUCAUUAACAUCAUCAAUGUUUUGAUUUAUAUCCCGCUUGGCAAAGAGUAACUCAUUUUGAUGCCUCUCGCUACCUCUGACCCUAGUUUUAAAGGAAUCAUGCGACACACUCGCACUCCACUACCCCAUCCAAUGGAAAAACGCUCCUACCAUCGAGGUGUUGACCAAAAUUUCGCUGUGUGCAUGAGACACACACUCGCACUCCUCCAGCCCUCCAUAGCCGAUCGCUCCAACCGUUGCGAAUUUGCGAGAAUUUUUGCUCUGAGCGUGAGACCCUGAAGCGCAAUAGAUGACACUAUGUGUAAAGACGAUCAUAAUUCGAUAUGGUCAAAAUGCGUCGAUUGUCGUUUCAUCUAUCUGGUAAUGAUGUUUUCACUUCAUCAAAAUUUUAAACAUUAACAACUAGGCUGAUAACAAUAUUUGAAUUUUUAAUCAGAAUAAAAUAAAUUCAUUUGAAGCAAAAUAAAUUACAUUAUACUCUAUGUUGACCAAAUGAUCAACACUUGUACAUAGUGCCAUUUUUUUUGUGUUCUUCACUCUCGCGCUGUGUUGUGAUCGUUCGAAACUCAUUGCCAGAACGAAUGCAAAUUUUAUUUUAGAAGGAUCGGUGCCGGAAGAUGCAGCGCAAAUUAUGAAAUGAUAAUAGAAAAGUGGUUAAGUAAAUCGUGAAAGAUGUCAACGCACGCGUAAAUGCAGUAUGUUUUGUUACAUGAUCUACGGCUAUUUCAUCACUAAAGCUUCUGAUAACAGAUCAAAGCAGAUGGAUAGCAUACCGAGUCGCCGUUUAAUUUAAAAUAUCUUCGUGAUCGGCAAACGCAUCAAACAGCAAUUGUUUCUCUUCCAACAGCACGCGCCAUCGGUGGAGCAAGCAGGCAACGUUUUGUUUGCCCAGCACGCACCAUCAUGAAUUGAAAUAUUCCCGAAUAGCUCUGUGAAUAAAAAACUCCACACUUACUGUAGGAAUUUCAUGGAAUUUUUUGGUCGGCCUACGCUCACGGGAAUGGUGGGUCC